rnacentral:tRNA from 1 species
GGGCGAGUGGCGAAACUGGUAGACGCACUACUUUGAGGUGGUAGCGCCUUCACUGGCAUGAGAGUUCGAGUCUCUCCUCGCCCACCA